GGGUCCUCCCUUUCCUCCCUCGAGGCCUUUCUGGGAUUGGCCGCAAGAGAUGACUAGGCUGCGGGAGUAGCAGGCAGGGCGCUGUCACAUGCUGAGUCACUCUUGCCCUGUACGGUCCCGGCCAAAUGUCAGCCCAACGGGCCUCCCUAAGGCCGGCUCCCCCGUGGGUUUCAGGCCGCGGAGGGGGGGACUCCCGACCGCAGGGUUGGGGGAGGGGUGGAACUACCGUUGUGCGGAAGUGUCCUCAGCAUCAAAGCAGUCCGCGAGUUCACGCCUUGCUGGCGCACUUCCCAGGGACUGCCCGGCUGGCUUCGGAGAGGUCACGCAACGGACUGUGAGAAGGCAGCCCCUGCUCCAGAGAUUGCAGCUGCCGUGCUAGAGGAUAGCCUGGGCCCUCGGUUUACAAGUCUGAGAUUGAGCUGCUGCAUAUAGUUGCUGUAAGGAUUGUCGAGAUAGACAAGCUUAUUUGUGAGCAGCACUCCUCCAAGAGGAGCUGAAAGCAUGUCAAUGCAACUGGAAGAUCAAGCAGACACCUGCAUAAAGCAUCCCCCGAAAAUAAAGUUCAGGCACUCAGACAACAUGGUUACAUUUGCAUGAAUGUACCACCACAGCUGAGAAGAACGAAGCUACAGCCAUCAGGACAACUGUAGCAAUCCCACCCAGACAAGUUCUGGUCGUAACCACUGUAAACUAAGAGCUACCUGCAUGGAUCACACCCGAUGAGCACACGGACAAAUAAAUGCAAAGACAAGCAUUGUUGAAGAAUGUUUAAGCGCUUUUCUUACUGCUUUACCUAAAGGAUUUUCUAACAAUGCAUCUAUUACAAUUCAUAUUAUUUUAAGUACAUUUAUAUGUUCUUUGCGAUACUGAUUUUUAGUGUAUUUGUAAAGCUAAUGUUAGAAGAAUUAUUCCUGUCGGGAGGUAUGGAUUUCCGUUAAUGGAAGCAGCAAGAAUCCAAAGGUUUACAGUGACCUACAAUCCAGCCACAUAAAUAAUACUUGAAAGCCUAAGAGCAAAGCGAUGGGAAUCACAUACCUUCUGU